rnacentral:rRNA from 1 species
UACGUAGGGGGCAAGCGUUGUCCGGAAUUAUUGGGCGUAAAGAGCUCGUAGGCGGUCUGUCGCGUCUGCUGUGAAAACUCAGGGCUUAACCCUGAGCUUGCAGUGGGUACGGGCAGACUAGAGUGCGGUAGGGGAGACUGGAAUUCCCGGUGUAGCGGUGAAAUGCGCAGAUAUCGGGAGGAACACCGGUGGCGAAGGCGGUUCUCUGGGCCUUACCUGACGCUGAGGAGCGAAAGCGUGGGGAGCGAACAGG